rnacentral:rRNA from 1 species
UACGUAGGGGGCAAGCGUUGUCCGGAUUUAUUGGGCGUAAAGAGCUCGUAGGCGGUUUGGUGAGUCAGGUGUGAAAUCUCCACGCUCAACGUGGAGGGGCCACCUGAUACUGCCGAAUGACUGGAGUCCGGUAGAGGAGUGUGGAAUUCCCGGGUGUAGCGGUGAAAUGCGCAGAUAUCGGGAGGAACACCCGUAGCGAAGGCGGCACUCUGGGCCGGUACUGACCACUGAGGAGCGAAAGCGUGGGGAGCAAACAGG